AUUAAAAAGAGAUGACUUUUCUAGCAAAGUGGGUUUUCUCUUUUCUCAUCUCCCACUUUCCUGAAGGCAGGAAGUUCUUGGGUGGAAUCCAAUUCUUUUGACCCUUUAUCUGUUUCCAAACCAUAUGAAUAUAAGUGGAGUAUUACAAAGAAAAACCAGAAUAUUCUCAGAUGAACCAGGGCACUGGGAAUAUACAGACCUUUCUUUCCUUCCUUCCUUCUUUAUUUGUCUUUUUAGGGCCGUACCCAUGACAUAGGCCGUACCCCUACCAGGCUAGGGGUCGAAUUGGAGCUACAGCUGCUAGCCUAUGCCACAACCACAGCAAUGCCAGAUCUGAGCCGCAUCUGCAACAUACACCACAGCCACAGCAAUGCCGAAUCCUUAACCCUCUGAGCAAGGCCGGGGAUCGAACAUGCGUCCUCAUGGAUACUAGUCUGAUUCGUUUCCACUGAACCAUGGUGGGAACUCCCCAGACUUUUCUGUCUUUAUCCUAUAUUUUCUUUCUUUAUCCUAUGUUUAUCCAAGGGCUCUGUAAAGAAACUCUCCCUCUUAAUGGAAGGAGUAUAGAAUAUCAUGGCUUUGUUCCACAGUGCAGACAGCUAUUUUUUUCUGAAUGUAACUAUGUCCUCAUCUGACAAAUUUUGAUAGAUAUUGCUCUUACUGUCCUUUAUUUAUAGAUGGUGACUUCUGUUGAUUUUCAGUUUGACCGGGAGCGUGACUUUCAAGUUUAGAAGUCAUUAGAUUUUAUCUAUCUAUUUUUUGGUUUCAUUCAUCUCUUUAUUUUUCAUGAUCAGAAGUAUGGUGACCUAUUAUUUGGGAAAUAAUUUAGGCUUUAUUUGUAGCUGAGUAUAUAGUUAUUUUAUAGGUACCAUGGGCAUUUGAAAAGCUUAUGUUUUUUCCUGUUUAAAAAGUAUAGAAGUUGAUGGAUUUAUCGGUUUCUAUUUUUCAAAUGUCCUGUAUCCACUCUGUUGUUUUCUCGAUUUGUCUCCUGUAUGGUGGCACUUUUCUACAGGAAAAGUUGGGUGGGUGAGGAAGUGUUGAAGUGAAGAGCGAAAUCAUGAUUUUCAUUGUAGUUGACUUUGGAGUGGGGACGGGGGAACUCUAGAGUGUUUUUCCCUAGGUCCCUGUAAAACCCAGAUGUAAGCCUUCUGUAUUUCAUACCCUUAACAAUGAUCACAACCACGGAAACAAGAGUGCUUCUUUUCAAAGAAUGCCGUCAAGAUAUUGAAGGCAGUGUGAUGUGCUCCUUUGUUGCGGAUGGACUGUGUACGUGACUCAGGGAGACAAAAGAAACAAAGCAAAAAGAGAAGGGAAAACACAGGACCUGGCAAAAAAGUCAUGAAACCAAGCACGUGACAGAGAUGAGGAGAGCUGUGGGGAGAGAUUGGGGCAGGGAGAGCCUCUGGUCUAGGGUGGGGAUCUGGGCUUACAGAGCUGGCUUGAAGCCUAGGCACAAUUUCCUUUGGCCCAAGGGUAGGGUUGCUCCUUGUUGCUUGAAGCCCAUAAGCAGUUUAAGCAGCCUGUCAUCACUAGGCUUCCCAGUGUACCAGCAGGUUCCCGUUUUUGAUGGCGUCUUUUCAUUUUGAGUUCUUGGUGACCAUUGAUGUAUCUUAAGAAUGUUGAUCUGCAGCACAGCAAAGGUUGAUCUCCAACAGAGGUAUUGAGGGUGGCCACUUUGGCCUUCACAGGACAGGAACCUCAUGGCUUGCUUACAGAAUGAUAGAUUUUUAUUAAAACAUUGAGGAGUUCCCCUUGUGGCUCAGUGGUAAUGAACCCAACUAGUAUCCAUGAGGAUGCAGGUUUGAUCCCCUAAAGGAUCCGGUGUUGCCAUGAGCUGUGGUGUAGUUUGCAGACUCAGCUCAGAUCUGGUGUUGCUGUGGCUCUGGUGUUGGCCGGCAGCUGUAUCUCCGAUCUGACCCCUAGCCUGGGAACUUACGCAUGCUGCAGGUGUCAUAAAAGGCAAAACAAACAAGCAAACAUGGGGGUACAGCUCCAGUUGUUGCAAACUAUAACUCAUUUUUUUGUCUUCUGAAAAUGUUUGCUCGUUGAUGGUUAAAAUAUGACCCUUUUACUGGCCAGGGUGAUGCAAAUCUCAGGCCACUUUAGACUUUCUCUGUGGGAUGUCUUUCUCUGGUCAAGGUAAUGACCGGUUCAGCAAAGGGCCAAGCAUAAUCACGAUGUGGAAUAAAAUGCAUUAUGCAGGGUGGUUCAAACCUUGAGAAGGUCUUGAACUCCUGUGCACAUCUUGAUUGCUAAUUAGAAAAAGGUGUUUCAGCCCAGAAACCACUGAAAUAUGAGAGGCAUUGGUUAUGGAAAUUAAAAUCAAAAGCAUCAAGCUUUGCAUUUCUGAUUACAGAUUCGCACCAUACAAUUACAGGGUAUAAAAUCAAUUUUUACUGUAGUCAUAAGUAGUAAUUAGACAUAGACUUUUAAAAUUCAAAUCAUAUUUGUAUUAGAUGAAAUUCCUCCACUUCUUUACCCUCAAGCAGGAAAAGAUCUGAAUGGGAAACUACUGCCAGCUCUGUUCUUUGUAGAUAAUCCUUAACAUAGCUCAGUUAUAACCCGUUUCGGCUUGAAGGAACACAUUGGGAAAGAAAUGAAGAGGCUGCCUCCCUUCAAAUGUUGUACCACAGAGGUCCACAUUUUCUAGCCUUCAAAGCUUCCAGCAUUUUUUCAGGGAUUUGAUGCCAAAGAAGGGGGAAAAGAAAAUGAGGGUGGGGUAGAGAGCUGAUUAAACAGCAAAGACCAGCUUUAUUAGCGUUACCACCAGAGUGAGUAAGUACAAGGACCCGGAACCAGUGAAAACCCCCAGCACCCAGACUGUGGUCUCUAAAUACCAUUCUCUACUAAAGGGAAGCAUGGCUUCUUGGAAAAUAGUGGACUUCAGGCCCGAAGCAGAAAGUGUACAAACCGAAACGGAACAUCUUGUUCCCAGAUGCAAGGACAUGCUUUAAGAUUGAUGGGAAUGUGGCAAAAGGAUGCAGGAGGUCGCUGGGAGGCAUCCCCAUUGGGCAGAUCUGGGACAAUCUGAGCACAAUGAACGAUGACAGUAAUGGAUUAUGACGCAUUGAAUAAAAAGAGUUUGAGUCAUAGUAAUGCUGCCCCUCACACUGUACUCCAUAAAAAAGAAUGGCAGUUAGUGUAGAAGAAAUGGUAAAACUAGAAAAUCACUUUUUGCAACACAUUUUAUAAUUGAUUUAGAUAAAGCUUAUCAGUGGAUGCUAAACCAUUGAGUAAUAGAUUAUUGCAAGAGAAUAGUCAUGUGGUCUCAACUUAUCACUUCCAAAGACUUAUUAAUUACCAAGGUGGGGAGUUCCCAUUGUGGCUCAGUGGUAACGACCCGACUAGUGUCCGUGAGGACCUGGGUUCGAUCCCUGGCCCUGCUCAGUGGGUUAAGGAUCCAGGAUCCAGUGUUGCCAUGAGCUGUGAUGUAGGUUGCAGACGUGGCUUGGACCCUGAAUUGCCGUGGCAACUUCCAUGUGCUGCAAAUGCGGAAGCUCUCCAAACCCCUUCCUUGUAGAGUUUUUAAUGGAGGCUUCAUUACACAGACAUGAUUGACUCAAUCUUUGGCCACAGGUGAUUCAUUCAUCCUCCAGCCCUCUUCCCUCCCUGGAGAUCAAGGGAGUGGGACUGAAACUUCCAAACCUUUAAUCACUUGGUUGGUUUUCUUGGCGACCAGGUCUCAUCUUUAGGUGCUUUUCCAAAGUCACCUCAGUAACAUAACAAAAGACACUUUUUUUGCCAUGCCCACAGCAUGUGGAAGUUCCCAAAGCAGAGGUUGGACCCAAGCCACAGGUGUUCCAAGAGGAACUCCCAACAGCAUAUAUUUUAAAGAGUAUUUAGUUGGCCAGGUCCAUCACAAAUCAUGUGCAGACUUCUAGUUUGAGCUGUUCCUAAAACUACUUUCCUACUCUCAUCACUUGACAUUCUUUUUCUUUCUUUCUUUCUUUCUUUCUUUUUUUUUUUGGUCUUUUUAGGGCUGCAUCCAUGGUAUANAGGUUCCCAGGUUAGGGGUCUAAUCGGAGCUACAGCUGCCAGCCAACACCACAGCAACGCAGGAUCCUAGCCACAUCUUUGACCAACACCACAGUUCAUGGAAACACUGGAUCUUAACCCACUGAGCGAAUCUGGGGAUCGAAUCCGCAACCUCAUGGUUCCUAGUCCGAUUUGCUUCCACUGCACCACGAGGGGAACUCCUCAUCACUUGACUUUCAAGGUUAACAUUUAGAUAUCGGUAUGAGAAAAUCCAGAAAUAGUUUUUUUUUUUUAAAGGAUCCAACUGAGAUUUUAUUUUUUAACUUUAAUCUUUUAUUUUUUGGCCACUCCCACAGCAUGUGGAAGUUCCUGGGCUAGGGAUCAAACCCACACCCUAACAGAAACCUGAGCUGCUGCAGUGACAAUACUGGAUCUUUUUUUUUUGCCUUUUCUAGGGCCACUCUUGCAGCAUAUGGAGGUUCCCAGGCUAGGGGUCUAAUCAGAGCUGUAGCCACCAGACUGCGCCAGAGCCACAGCAAUGUGGGAUCCAAGCCACAUCUGCUCACGGCAACACUGGAUCCUUAACCCACUGAGCAAGGCCAGGGAUUGAACCUGCAACCUCAUGUUUCCUAGUCAGAUUUGUUAACCACUGCGCCACGAUGGGAACUCCUUUUUUUCUUUUUCUUUUUUUAAAUGCUGGAUCCUUAACCUGCUGAGCCGCAAAGAACUCCCCAGAAAAAAUUUUAGCCAAUCACAGAUACCAAGAACCACAGGCUGCUGCUACUGGCAUUUUGAAUGACAGAGGGGGUGGUGUGUGUCCUAAAGGCUCCUCUGGGGCCGUGGUUGCCAGCCCGUGGCUCUUUGCGGCUUCCAGGGCAGGAUUUGGCAGCCUGGCAGGUGUAAGAAUGGGACAGGUGGGCUGUGAGACUGAGACAGGGCACUGUGGAUCCCAGAGGGAGACUGACCAACCGGGGAUUCAGUGUAAGAGUCAGGUUGGGGACGGAACUGGUGCCAGGAAGUUGGUGAAGGUCUGGGGAAGGGCAGGAGGAGAUAGAGGUUCAGAAGCUGAUGUUCUUAGAGGGAGAAUAACCUCUCUAUGGGAGUUUCUGGAGAGGAAGGGAGAGGGAGAGACAGAGACACAGAUAGACACAAAUAGACACAGAUAGACUCCUCCCAGUGAGGGAAAAACAGCCAGAAUCAACAAGAAUGCCCAUUAGGCAAAGAACGCAAUUGAAAUGUCCCUAUCUCUGGAAUCAUUUUUUUUCCUUAAAAUUUUUUUCUUAAAUUGUGGUUGAUUUACAGGGUUCUGCCAAGGAAUCACUUAAAUAAAGUUCAUUUUUUU
rnacentral:lncRNA from 1 species